rnacentral:rRNA from 1 species
GGGGGACGGAGAAGGCUAGGUGGGCCUGGCGACGGUUGUCCAGGUUCAAGUGCGUAGGCUUGAGAGUUAGGUAAAUCCGGCUCUUUUUAAGGCUGAGACACGACGUCGAGCCACUACGGUGGUGAAGUCAUUGAUGCCAUGCUUCCAGGAAAAGCCUCUAAGCUUCAGAUUGUAAGGAAUCGUACCCCAAACCGACACAGGUGGUCGGGUAGAGAAUACCAAGGCGCUUGAG